rnacentral:rRNA from 1 species
AAGGUCUCAGAGAUGAGACUGUGGCCUUCGGGAACUGUGAGACAGGUGCUGCAUGGCUGUCGUCAGCUCGUGUUGUGAAAUGUUGGGUUAAGUCCCGCAACGAGCGCAACCCUUAUCCUUUGUUGCCAGCGAUUCGGUCGGGAACUCAAAGGAGACUGCCAGUGAUAAACUGGAGGAAGGUGGGGAUGACGUCAAGUCAUCAUGGCCCUUACGAGUAGGGCUACACACGUGCUACAAUGGCAUAUACAAAGAGAAGCGACCUCGCGAGAGCAAGCGGACCUCAUAAGGUAUGUCGUAGUCCGGAUUGGAGUCUGCAACUCGACUCCAUGAAGUCGGAAUCGCUAGUAAUCGUAGAUCAGAAUGCUACGGUGAAUACGUUCCCGGGCCUUGUACACACCGCCCGUCACACCAUGGGAGUGGGUUGCAAAAGAAGUAGGUAGCUUAACCUUCGGGAGGGCGCUUACCACUUUGUGAUUCAUGACUGGGGUGAAGUCGUAACAAGGUAGGCGUAGUGCU